rnacentral:lncRNA from 1 species
AAAAGACAACACUAGAGAGAGGGCUGUCUUCCACCCCAGGGCGUGCCUCCUCUGCCACAAACGGUGCCACUCUUUCCUUGCGCCGCCUGAACCAUCAAGUUCAGCCUUCCCCGCCGUGCAGCACUUCACCUAGAUGCUUGUCGACGAAUUCCAGUUGGCGACCUAAAGCGCUUCUCGACCAGCCAGCAGUUGCCCAGACGAUUUCCGGUGACCUCCGCGGCAUCCCCACAUCGGAGACCCUUCACUGCUGCAGCUGUCCUCUGCUGAUUCCGGGCUUGGGGUUGCCAUUCACUGUUGUUCCUCCUGCUGAUUGCUGUUCGCUACAACAUAUCACUAUACUGUUGGGGAGAAGAUAUGUUGUCGCGAACUCGGGUACAACAAUUCACCACGUCCAAACGCAAUCCAG